rnacentral:rRNA from 1 species
AGUUCUCAAACCAUGCUGAUUUUAUUGGCGUGGCUUUGGAUGUGGGGGUUUCUGUUUGCGGGCUUUUGAAGUCGGCUCCCCUGAAAUGCAUUAGUGGUAUCUGAGCAGAGACUACUUACAGGUGUGAUAAAUUAUCUAUCUAUGCCUCGGUAUGCUGCAUGAAACAGAUUGCACCGCUUAUAACGAGUGGAAAUUUGACAAGUUUGACCUCAAAUCAGGUAGGACUACCCGCUGAACUUAAGCAUAUCAAUAAGCGGAGGAAAAGAAACUAACAAGGAUUCCCCUAGUAACUGCGAGUGAAGCGGGAAAAGCUCAAAUUUGAAAUCUGGCGGUUUUUGACCGUCCGAGUUGUAAUCUAGAGAAGUGUUACCUGUGCUGGACCGUGUAAAAGUCUCCUGGAAUGGAGCAUCACAGAGGGUGAGAAUCCCGUCUUUGACAUGGACAACCAGUGCGUCGUGGUGCGCUCUCAAAGAGUCGAGUUGUUUGGGAAUGCAGCUCAAAAUGGGUGGUAAAUGCCAUCUAAAGCUAAAUAUUGGCGAGAGACCGAUAGCGAACAAGUACCGUGAGGGAAAGAUGAAAAGCACUUUGGAAAGAGAGUUAAACAGUACGUGAAAUUGCUGAAAGGGAAACGCUUGAAGUCAGUCACGUCGGCUAGAAAUCAGCCUUGCUUCUGCUCGGUGUACUUUCUGGUUGACGGGUCAGCAUCAAUUUCGACCGCUGGACAAAGUCUUUGGGAAUGUGGCAUCCUCGGAUGUGUUAUAGCCCAUCGUCGCAUGCAGUGGUUGGGAUUGAGGAACUCAGCACGCCGCAAGGCCGGGUUUCGACCACGUUCGUGCUUAGGAUGCUGGCAUAAUGGCUUUAAUCGACCCGUCUUGAAACACGGACC